rnacentral:rRNA from 1 species
GGGUGAUCAGUGGCGAACGGGUGAGUAACACGUGAGCAACCUACCCUUCACUCUGGGAUAAGCCUUGGAAACGAGGUCUAAUACCGGAUACGAGACGCACGGGCAUCUGUAGCGUCUGGAAAGAUUUAUUGGUGGAGGAUGGGCUCGCGGCCUAUCAGCUUGUUGGUGGGGUAAUGGCCUACCAAGGCGACGACGGGUAGCCGGCCUGAGAGGGCGACCGGCCACACUGGGACUGAGACACGGCCCAGACUCCUACGGGAGGCAGCAGUGGGGAAUAUUGCACAAUGGGCGAAAGCCUGAUGCAGCGACGCCGCGUGCGGGAUGACGGCCUUCGGGUUGUAAACCGCUUUCAGCAGGGAAGAAGCGAAAGUGACGGUACCUGCAGAAGAAGCGCCGGCUAACUACGUGCCAGCAGCCGCGGUAAUACGUAGGGCGCAAGCGUUGUCCGGAAUUAUUGGGCGUAAAGAGCUCGUAGGCGGUUUGUCGCGUCUGCUGUGAAAACCUCAGGCUCAACCUGGGGCUUGCAGUGGGUACGGGCAGACUAGAGUGCGGUAGGGGUGACUGGAAUUCCUGGUGUAGCGGUGGAAUGCGCAGAUAUCAGGAGGAACACCGAUGGCGAAGGCAGGUCACUGGGCCGCAACUGACGCUGAGGAGCGAAAGCAUGGGGAGCGAACAGGAUUAGAUACCCUGGUAGUCCAUGCCGUAAACGUUGGGCACUAGGUGUGGGGUCCAUUCCACGGAUUCCGUGCCGCAGCAAACGCAUUAAGUGCCCCGCCUGGGGAGUACGGCCGCAAGGCUAAAACUCAAAGAAAUUGACGGGGGCCCGCACAAGCGGCGGAGCAUGCGGAUUAAUUCGAUGCAACGCGAAGAACCUUACCAAGGCUUGACAUACACCGGAAAAGUGCAGAGAUGUGCUCCCCGCAAGGUCGGUGUACAGGUGGUGCAUGGUUGUCGUCAGCUCGUGUCGUGAGAUGUUGGGUUAAGUCCCGCAACGAGCGCAACCCUCGUCCCAUGUUGCCAGCGGGUUAUGCCGGGGACUCAUGGGAGACUGCCGGGGUCAACUCGGAGGAAGGUGGGGAUGACGUCAAAUCAUCAUGCCCCUUAUGUCUUGGGCUUCACGCAUGCUACAAUGGCCGGUACAAAGGGCUGCGAUACCGCGAGGUGGAGCGAAUCCCAAAAAGCCGGUCUCAGUUCGGAUUGGGGUCUGCAACUCGACCCCAUGAAGUCGGAGUCGCUAGUAAUCGCAGAUCAGCAACGCUGCGGUGAAUACGUUCCCGGGCCUUGUACACACCGCCCGUCAAGUCAUGAAAGUCGGUAAC